CCGGUUGCGAAGCUAACGUCAGCUCAACGUGUGUGCCUCCUCUAUUCUUUAUCACAGAAACUGAUGGAGGUUCCUAUUGGAGAAAAAGUUCCUCGAAACAAAAAGACUCAAUAGACUCAUUAGAAAUCAGUCUACAUCUGUUCUUCGAGCACUUUGAUGUUGAACUCAGCUGCUGUGACUCCAGAGAAGCUGUUUAAAUCACCUGCAGAGGAAUCCUGGACGCAUGAUCGAAUGCCAAACAAUGAGAAGAAAAAUGCAUUUGUGUGAUGAUUUGUGCUUAGAAACAUCAAUUAUUUUCCACUGAUGAAACUAUUGGAGCGGGUCUGUGUGAUUUUCUACAGUUUAUGUCAUGCCUUAAAGAGACUAAUUCGUGUGGUGUGUUAGAAUCUUGUACGAAUCUGACAUUUUCAUGAUUUUUUCGUCGAACAUGAAUGAAAAAAAUGUUUAAAAGUA